UACGUAGGGUGCGAGCGUUAAUCGGAAUUACUGGGCGUAAAGCGUGCGCAGGCGGUUUUGUAAGACAGCUGUGAAAUCCCCGGGCUCAACCUGGGAACUGCGGUUGUGACUGCAAGACUUGAGUACGGCAGAGGGGGGUGGAAUUCCUGGUGUAGCAGUGAAAUGCGUAGAUAUCAGGAGGAACACCGAUGGCGAAGGCAGCCCCCUGGGCCAGUACUGACGCUCAUGCACGAAAGCGUGGGGAGCAAACAGG
rnacentral:rRNA from 1 species